AAGUCGUAACAAGGUAACCGUAGGUGAACCUGCGGUUGGAUCAUUAUUGAUUUUUUUAUUGCCUAGGGUUUAAAGAUUUGGUUUUUGAUGCCUUUUCAAGGCUCCUAAUGAUUUUCCCUAGGUCAAUUUCAACACUAUGUGCAUUAUAAUUGUUUUUUGGGUCUUGCAAGAUUUUUUGUAAGGCCCUGACUUUUUAUUAAACCCUAUUUAAAAUUGACUGAUUAAACCAAGAUUUUUAUAAAAUCAAAAUACAACUUUUGACAACGGAUCUCUUGGCUCUC
rnacentral:misc_RNA from 1 species